rnacentral:rRNA from 1 species
GACGAACGCUGGCGGCGUGCCUAAUACAUGCAAGUCGAACGAGAGCAACCGGUGCUUGCACUGGUCAAUCUAGUGGCGAACGGGUGAGUAACACGUGGGUAACCUGCCCAUCAGAGGGGGAUAACAUCGGGAAACGGAUGCUAAAACCGCAUAAUUCUUCGAACCGCAUGGUUCGAAAGGGAAAGACGGCCCAGCUUUCUCCUGUUGGAUGGACCGCGGUGCAUUAGCUAGUUGGUUAGGUAACGGCUCACCAAGGCCAGGAUGCAUAGCCGACCUGAGAGGGUGAUCGGCCACAUUGGGACUGAGACACGGUCCAAACUCCUACGGGAGGCAGCAGUAGGGAAUCUUCCGCAAUGGACGCAAGUCUGACGGAGCAACGCCGCGUGAGUGAAGAAGGUUUUCGGAUCGUAAAACUCUGUUGUUAGAGAAGAACAAGUGCGAGAGUAACUGUUAGCGCCUUGACGGUAUCUAACCAGAAAGCCACGGCUAACUACGUG